UGAAUCAAGAAAAAUAAAAAGAAGGGGUACAUUAAAAAAAGGCAACAAUAAUAAUUGUUGUUGCAUUAUUACGAUAACACACACCAUAUAUUCACAACGUACACGUUAUUAUUAAAGCAAAAAAAUCGCCUUAGGCACCGAAACCUAACUUUACCUCACGUACCGUUGAUUGUUUCCUUUCACGAUGUACAAAGCAACAUUUGCGUUGGUAAUUCUGAUAAGUUUAACAUUGAAUGGAAUCCACUCUGGAAUAUUUAAUAUUAUGAGACCUUGGAGGUCUCUUGAUGCAAAAGCUAUAGGAACUUGGAUCGCGGAAAAUCCUUUUUUUGGGAAACCGAAAAAGAAUCAACCCGAUUUUAGCCUUGAUGUUCCUAAAGAUGUGGAAGUCGUUGUGCAUUUAGUUAAAAAGAAACCAGAGGAGAAUCAAAAUGAAAUUGAAUCGACCACUAAUUUGGAUUUAGAAUCAAAUUGAUGAAAUUGUUUGAAAAAAAUAAUUUAAAUAAAAGAAAAGAAAAAUGAGUAAUGGGUAAUUUUCUUGUUUUAAUCGUCCAUAAAACACUAUCAAAUGAUUUAAUGAAAUGAUUUAAUGAGUCAUUGACCACAAACCGACGUUCAUCAAAGACCGAAACGAUUCGGAUCUUAUGGGUUGUAUGAAACCGCGUGGGUGGCUUAUAAGUAAUAGCAGUCGAGACUCUGUAAUUCAAUUUCGAGCCGUCCCUAUUGCGGGAACAUUCACUUUUGCACUUAUGAAAACGGACACCGGGAAUCCACACUCUGGUCGUUCCAUCGCGUUACAGUGUCCAUUUCUUGUUACCUUAGAGCCGAGGUUUAUUUACAACCAUGUUCAAAGGAUAUCUCCAACUUAUUCUUUUCAUUGGAAUAUUAUCCUGUAUAAGUCAAUGUUCUAUUUUCGAUGCUGUAAGUGAUUUUAAAAGUUGGGCUGGAGAAUCUAUUACUUCAAUUCGAAAUUUAUUUAAAAAACCACGACCACGUGAUCGCCCCCAUAUCGAUGUUAUAAAUUACGGUGGAAUGAAUGUAACACAACUAACUUCAUCGCAACCUUAAUUCGUAAUAAAAUAAGAUUAACAAAUUAAAUCUAUUUGUCUC